GUCUUUUAGAAAAUAAUUUAAAGUCUAACCUGCCCACUGAAUAUUUUUGAAGGGCCGCAGUAUUUUGACUGUGCAAAGGUAGCAUAAUCAUUAGUCUUUUAAUUGAAGGCUUGUAUGAAUGGUUGGAUGAAAUAUUAACUGUCUCAAAUUAAUUAAAUAGAAUUUAAUUUUUAAGUUAAAAAGCUUAAAUAUAAUUAGAGGACGAGAAGACCCUAUAGAUCUUUAUAUUUUUAUUAAUAUUUUUUAUUUAGGUAAAUAAAUAAUUUUAUUUAUAGAAAUAUUUUAUUGGGGUGAUAACUAAAUUUAUUUAACUUUAUUUAAUUAAAACAUUAAUUUAUGAAUAAUUGAUCCAUUAUUAGUGAUUAAAAGAUUAAGUUACCUUAGGGAUAACAGCGUAAUUUUUUUAGAGAGUUCUUAUCGAUAAAAGAGUUUGCGACCUCGAUGUUGAAUUAAAGAUUAAUUUAGGUGUAGUAGUUUAAAUGUUUGGUCUGUUCGACCAUUAAAUC
rnacentral:rRNA from 1 species